rnacentral:tRNA from 1 species
GGGGUUGUAGCUCAGAGAUAGAGUACACACCUAGUAUGCAUGAGGUACUGGGUUCAAUCCUCAGCAACACAU